CCAUCCUUGCUCAUCACCCCGCACUGUCUCGACCGUUUCAUCGAAGGCGAGAACUGGCCGACCACCUUCUCCAGCAGCAUCUUCUUCUACCGGUGGCAGCAAGGUGCCUCCGAGGCUCGGCUCGUGCAUGGCAGGGACCUCGCCGGAGAAUUCAGCUCCGUCUGCUACUUCGCCCACUGCGACGGCCUGGUGCUUGUCCCCACGGACACCAACCCAGCCACCAGGGACGUCGUCACGCUGCCGGAGAGCAGCCGGAACGUGCUGCCCGGUCGCGUCAACCUCUCCGUGGGGUUCGGCCGUGAUCCGCGCACCGGCAUGUACAAGGUGGUCCGCUCCUUCUUCCGCCCACGAGAUCGUAAAACGGGCAUCUUCAACAUGGGGAUGGAGGUGUGCACCCUGGGCGGCGGCGACGGCGGCCGCCAUUGUUGGAGGGAAACCGCGGCGGAUCCACCGUACCCUGUUGAGGCGUGGGUCACAGCCCAGUCCGUCAAGGGAGCGGUUUACUGGACCAUCGACAUAAGCCAUCUCGAGCCGCGUCCGCAUAGCCUUCUUCGCUUUGGCUUGGAAGACGAGGCGUUCAGAAUGACCAAUUUGCCUGAUUCUUUGGCCACCGGAGAUGGUGUGUACUUCAACCUGAAUGUGAUGCGGGGGGAGUUAUGUCUGACCGGCAGUCGCGUCGGCGAGCCUGGCGGCGACGACCACCCUCUGAUGAUCUGGACGCUCGUGGAAGACGACGGGCCCAGGCCCCUGUGGGAGCCGCGUUACAAGCUGAAUCUCACGGUCCCGUGCCAUCCCUUGUCAAUUCUUCCGGAUGGUGCGGUGCUGAUAUCGCUGUUCGACAAACUCCAGCGCUAUGAUCCGCAAUCGAAGGAACUGACACUGGUGUGUGAGCUUGACAGCCUGAGGUUCCGGCGUGCUACUAGGUCACGGAGGCCUGGCUUUAAGAAUUUGCACUUCUUCAACGUCAUCCCCUAUACGGAGAGCCUGAUUCCACUCAUUGUUCGGAGCAGCUAA
rnacentral:rRNA from 1 species